rnacentral:rRNA from 1 species
UACGAAGGGGGCUAGCGUUGCUCGGAAUCACUGGGCGUAAAGCGCACGUAGGCGGCUUUUUAAGUCAGGGGUGAAAUCCUGGAGCUCAACUCCAGAACUGCCUUUGAUACUGAGAAGCUUGAGUCCGGGAGAGGUGAGUGGAACUGCGAGUGUAGAGGUGAAAUUCGUAGAUAUCGGGAGGAACACCCGUAGCGAAGGCGGCACUCUGGGCCGGAACUGACGCUGAGGAGCGAAAGCGUGGGGAGCAAACAGG